rnacentral:rRNA from 1 species
AAACUCUGUCGUGCUGGGGAUAGAGCAUUGCAAUUAUUGCUCUUCAACGAGGAAUACCUAGUAAGCGUGAGUCAUCAGCUCGCGUUGAUUACGUCCCUGCCCUUUGUACACACCGCCCGUCGCUACUACCGAUUGAAUGGCUUAGUGAGGUCUCCGGAUUGGCUUUCGCGCGCCGGCAACGGCAUGCUAUUGCUGAAAAGUUGAUCAAACUUGGUCAUUUAGAGGAAGUAAAAGUCGUAACAAGGUUUCCGUAGGUGAACCUGCGGAAGGAUCAUUAUUGAAAUAAACCUGAUGGGUUGCUGCUGGCUCUCUAGGGAGCAUGUGCACACUUGUCAUCUUUAUAUCUCCACCUGUGCACCUUUUGUAGACCUGGAUAUCUCUCUGAGUGCUUUAGCACUUCAGGUUUGAGGAUUGACUUUAUUGUUCUCUCUUUAUAUUUCUAGGUCUAUGUUUUUCAUAUACCCUAUUGUAUGUUAUAGAAUGUAGUCAAUAGGCCUUUGUGCCUAUAUACCUAUACAACUUUCAGCAACGGAUCUCUUGGCUCUCGCAUCGAUGAAGAACGCAGCGAAAUGCGUUAAGUAAUGUGAAUUGCAGAAUUCAGUGAAUCAUCGAAUCUUUGAACGCACCUUGCGCUCCUUGGUAUUCCGAGGAGCAUGCCUGUUUGAGUGUCAUUAAUAUAUCAACCUCUUCAACUUUUGUUGAUUGUUGGAUGUGGGGGGUAUUCUUUUUUGCUGGUCUCUCUCUGAGUUCAGCUCCCCUGAAAUACAUUAGCGGAACAAUUUGUUCAUUGGCAUGAUAAUUAUCUAUGCUAUUGACAUGAAGCAGUUCAGCUUAUAACAGUCUAUUGACUUGGACAAAUUUAUUAUUAAUGUGACCUCAAAUCAGGUAGGACUACCCGCUGAACUUAAGCAUAUCAAUAAGCGGAGGAAAAGAAACUAACAAGGAUUCCCCUAGUAACUGCGAGUGAAGCGGGAAAAGCUCAAAUUUAAAAUCUGGCAGUCUCUGGCUGUCCGAGUUGUAAUCUAGAGAAGUGUUAUCCGCGCUGGACCGUGUACAAGUCUCCUGGAAUGGAGCGUCAUAGAGGGUGAGAAUCCCGUCUUUGACACGGACUGCCAGGGCUUUGUGAUGCGCUCUCAAAGAGUCGAGUUGUUUGGGAAUGCAGCUC